rnacentral:rRNA from 1 species
CGUGUAGGCGGCCACACAGGUCCGCUGUGAAAACUCGAGGCUCAACCUCGAGCUGUCGGUGGAAACCGUGUGGCUAGAGUCCGGAAGAGGAGAGUGGAAUUCCCGGUGUAGCGGUGAAAUGCGCAGAUAUCGGGAAGAACACCCGUGGCGAAGGCGGCUCUCUGGGACGGUACUGACGCUGAGACGCGAAAACGUGGGGAACGAACA